rnacentral:sRNA from 1 species
CUUGAUAAACUUUAUUGGAUCGGAAACGCUUCCUUCUGGGUGCUACACACACAUCUACCCUAUACUCUCUUUGAGAUUUCUUGCAGAUUCCAUUCCUGCGGGCGGUACAACAACAAAAUUUAGAUCAGAUCAAGAUUUAUUUUGCCGGAAAAUAAGCGAAAACCUUCCCUUUUAUCGAUAUCAUAAAUCCAAAGGCAUCAAAUACAUUGUACAUAUGUAUAUUCGUUAUCUUUUAGGAAACUACUUCCUUUGUUAAUCGCUAAAGGCCAUAAAGAUACCCCAGAAGAGCCCUCAAAACCCGUUCAACCAAGAGGUAUUGUAUCUAUAAUUAUUGGAUGUACAACCACUUCAGGCUUCUACAUUACCACCCAUAUCCAAAGACAGUCAAAACCUUCAUUAAAUCUUGGAAUAUAGCUAUUGCUACUACUAAAAUACUGCUACUGCUAAUACCUCAGAUAUAUUCCUCAUCAUUGGAAUGAACUUCCUUUCAUCUCAAGGUGUGCUUCAAAACUAUAAAAUAUGGCUAUAUAUAGGUGUUAUAAGCCAGAUAUAUCCAUAAUCAAUGUAAGUACUUUGCUUUCAAUCAUUAAACAUCUCCAGAAGAUCCCUCUAAAGCACUUAUUUCUUAAAUAUUCCGACGCCUUCCUCUCCAAACUUCAGACAUACCACAAAAACCCUGUCCUUUCCCCAAUAAAAACCUCUUUAAAUGUUAAUUAUAUUUUUUUUUUGUAUGUAUAAUAUCUGUGCCAUUUAUUGUUUAUCGUUUGUUGCGUGUUUAAAUAAUGUUCCUGUGUGUGUGUGAGGGAUUGGAGGAGGUCCUAGCCAGACGCUACAGCGUAUCCAUUCAUUCCAAUAUUAUAAUCGUAAUAGCUAGGCGAUCUAAAUAGUAUUUUGUGUAUUUAUAUAUAAUUAUAACUGAAAAACGCAUCUGUGUAUCUUUUAUCUUGUAUCUAAUGUAAAAUUGUAAGUCUACAGCUGAAUUUUUAGGACAGUUUUAAACCCUUAACUAGACUGCGAGAGAUAGAUAGAGAGAGAGAGAGAGAGAAAACAAUAAAUUGGUUAUUGGAUUAGCUUAGAUGAUCGAUCCAUUUGUUAG